GGUGAGUCCAAGUGCAAUGGUGUUUACAACUAAUUGAUCACAACCCGUUACAGAUUCCUUUGUUCCUUCUCCACUCCCACUGCUCCACUUGACCAGCCUUAA
ensembl:misc_RNA Y_RNA Y RNA